GACCUGAGCCAUGUGCGGCUGACGCCGGCGCAGACGACACUGGUGGACCGUCUGGCAGAAAAUGGGCACAACGUAUGGGCCCGAGACCGUGUGGGCCAGGGCUGGAGCUACAGCGCGGUGCAGGACAUCCCAGCGCGCCGAAACCCUCGACUGGUGCCCUACCGCCUGCUGGAUGAGGCCACCAAGCGCAGCAACCGGGACAGCCUCUGCCAGGCCGUGCGCACCCUCCUGGGCUACGGCUACAACAUUGAGCCUCCUGACCAGGAGCCCAGUCAGGUGGAGAAUCAGUCUCGUUGGGACCGGGUGCGCAUCUUCCGGGCAGAGAAAUCCUAUGCAGUGCAAAGUGGCCGCUGGUACUUCGAGUUUGAAGCAGUCACCACAGGCGAGAUGCGAGUGGGCUGGGCGAGGCCCGAGCUGAGGCCUGAUGUAGAGCUGGGAGCUGACGAACUGGCCUAUGUCUUCAAUGGGCACCGCGUGGGUACCUACCUGGGCACCAUUCUGCCAGGUCCUGUGGUCUCUCCCACAGCUUGUCUACUCUGGCCCUGCCU
rnacentral:sRNA from 1 species